rnacentral:rRNA from 1 species
UACGUAGGGGGCGAGCGUUAUCCAGAUUUACUGGGCGUAAAGGGCGCGUAGGCGGCCCUCUAAGUCGAACGUGAAAUCCCCGGGCUCAACCCGGGAACUGCGUCCGAUACUGGAAGGCUUGAAUCCGGGAGAGGGAUGCGGAAUUCCAGGUGUAGCGGUGAAAUGCGUAGAUAUCUGGAGGAACACCGGUGGCGAAGGCGGCAUCCUGGACCGGCAUUGACGCUGAGGCGCGAAAGCUAGGGGAGCAAACAGG